GGGGCGUAGGAUUGUCGGUCUUUUUAAAUCCAGCACCACAGCGAAGGAGAAGCUGUCAGAGAUGCAGCGACAGCUGGCCAGGCCAGAGCACAAAUUAAUACAAGAGGUGGAAACAAGAUGGAACAGCACAUUUAAUAUGUUGGAAAGGUUGUUUAAGGAGAGAGAGCCACUGGGGGCAGCUCUGGCCACCCUCCAUACAGACCUUCCUCCACUCACCUCAGAGGACUACCAGGCCAUACACCACUGCUUGAGCAUUCUUUCACCGUUUCAAGAGGCCACAGUUGAGCUUUCGACAGAAAAACGAGUGUCAGCAUCCAAAGUCAUUCCCAUGGUCAAAAUGCUGAAACAUUACAUCUCAAGCAGGUGUGGUCAGAUCACACACCCACUUGGUGAAAAACUGGCCACUAACUUGAAGAACAAUCUCCAUGAGAGGUUUUCAGCUCUGGAGAAGGUCACUGCUCUGUCAAUGGCAACCUUGUUGGACCCAAGGUUUAAAGAGCUGGGGUUCUGCAGCCAAGGCUCUGCCCACACGGCCAUAGAGCGACUCACUAAAGAGUGUGCUGCAACAAUGCAGGCGCUACUUCCAGAGGCACAGCCACAGUCGCCACCUAGAGAAGGUCCUUCAAGUUAGCAGGAAGAUGGUGGUCUCUGGGCCCUGCUGGACAGGCAUGUGGGGGUUCAGCAGCAGGUGACCAGCACAACUGCCAGUGCAACAGUGGAGGUUCAGAGGUACUUAAAGGAACCUCACAUCCCAAGGACUCAGGACCCACUGAGAUACUGGGUUACCCACAAGGUUUUAUACCCACAUCUCUACAAGCUGGCAAUGAAGUUUUUAUGCACACCAGCUUCAUCUGUGCCUUGUGAGAGGAUCUUCUCCAAGGCUGGCGAAAUCGUCAGCCAAAGACGAAACAGGCUGAAGCCCAGCACAGUGGAGAAAAUUCUGUUUUUAAAUAAAAAUCUAUAACAUGUA